ensembl:snRNA U6 U6 spliceosomal RNA
GUACUCACUUCAGGAGCACAUAUACUAAAACUGGAACAAUACAGAGAAGAUUAACAUUGCCCUUGCAUAGGGAUGACACGCAAGUUCACAAAGCGUUCCAUUUGAAG